rnacentral:rRNA from 1 species
CCUACGGGUGGCAGCAGUAGGGAAUAUUGCUCAAUGGGGGAAACCCUGAAGCAGCAACGCCGCGUGGAGGAUGAAGGUUUUAGGAUUGUAAACUCCUUUUGUUAGAGAAGUCAAUGACGGUAUCUCACCAAUAAUCCCCGGCUAACUCCGUUCCAGCAGCCGCGGUAAUACGGAGGGCGCAAGCGUUACUCGGAAUCACUGGGCGUAAAGGGUGCGCAGGCGGGUUUGUAAGUCAGAUGUGAAAUCCUGUGGCUUAACUACAGAACUGCAUUUGAAACUGUGAGGCUAGAGUGUGGGAGAGGUAGGUGGAAUUCUUGGUGUAGAGGUGAAAUCCGUAGAUAUCAAGAGGAAUACUCAUUGCGAAGGCGACCUACUGGAACAUAACUGACGCUCAUGCACGAAAGCGUGGGGAGCAAACAGGAUUAGAUACCCGUGUAGUC